rnacentral:misc_RNA from 1 species
AAGCUCCAUAAUUCCUUGUUACCUACAAGAAAUGGAUAUAUUUUCAGGUUAAGGUACAGCUGUAAAAUGUCAAUAACCAGUAGAACACACACGUGCAUAUCAAAUGCAUCUUGAACAUCAUAUUAUAACCCAUUGAGUUGUAAGCAAACAGACUGCAUCCAAAUAUGAAACAACAACAGAUAUAAAAGGAGUAUCACUUCAUCUUCCUGGUUAAGAAAUUGAUGACUCCCAUU